rnacentral:tRNA from 1 species
GCCCUUGUAGCUCAGCGGAUAGAGCACCGGACUUCUAAUCCGUAGGUCGCAGGUUCAAAUCCUGCCGAGGGCGC